rnacentral:rRNA from 1 species
CACAAGCGGUGGAGCAUGUGGUUAAUUCGAUGCAACGCGAAAAACCUUACCGUGCCCUUGACAUGUCAGGAAUCUUCAGAGAUGAGAGAGUGCCUUCGGGAACCUGAACACAGGUGCUGCAUGGCUGUCGUCAGCUCGUGUCGCGAGAUGUUGGGUUAAGUCCCGUAACGAGCGCAACCCUUGUCCUUAGUUGCCAGCGGUUCGCCGGGAACUCUAAGGAGACUGCCGGUGAUAAACCGGAGGAAGGUGGGGACGACGUCAAGUCAUCAUGGCCCUUAUGGGCAGGGCUACACACGUGCUACAAUGGCCAGUACAGAAGGUUGCCAACCCGCGAGGGGGAGCUAAUCCUCAAAAGCUGGUCGUAGUCCGGAUCGCAGUCUGCAACUCGACUGCGUGAAGUCGGAAUCGCUAGUAAUCGCGAAUCAGCAUGUCGCGGUGAAUACGUUCCCGGGCCUU